AUUGAACGCUGGCGGCAGGCCUAAUACAUGCAAGUCGAGCGAGCGGCGGACGGGUGAGUAAUGUCUGGGAAACUGCCUGAUGGAGGGGGAUAACUACUGGAAACGGUAGCUAAUACCGCAUACCAUCAGAUGUGCCCAGAUGGGAUUAGCUAGUAGGUGGGGUAACGGCUCACCUAGGCGACGAUCCCUAGCUGGUCGGAGAGGAUGACCAGCCACACUGGAACUGAGAAACGGUCCAGACUCCGACGGGAGGCAGCAUGGGGGAAUAUGGCACAAUGGGAGCAAGCCUGAUGCAGCCAUGCCGCGUGUGUGAAGAGGGCCUUCUGGUGGUAAAGCACUUUCAUCGGGGAGGCGUUACCCGCAGAAGAAGCACCGGCUAACUCCGUGCCAGCAGCCGCGGUAAUAC
rnacentral:rRNA from 1 species